rnacentral:rRNA from 1 species
AUUGAACGCUGGCGGCAGGCCUUACACAUGCAAGUCGAGCGAGAAAUUUUCUUCGGAAAAGAGUAAAGCGGCGGACGGGUGAGUAACGCGUAGGAAUCUACCUAGUAGUGGGGGACAACAUGUGGAAACGCAUGCUAAUACCGCAUACGCCCUAUGGGGGAAAGCAGGGGAUCUUCGGACCUUGUGCUAUUAGAUGAGCCUGCGUCGGAUUAGUUUGUUGGUAGGGUAAUGGCCUACCAAGACUACGAUCCGUAGCUGGUCUGAGAGGAUGAUCAGCCACACUGGGACUGAGACACGGCCCAGACUCCUACGGGAGGCAGCAGUGGGGAAUAUUGGACAAUGGGCGCAAGCCUGAUCCAGCCAUGCCGCGUGUGUGAAGAAGGCUCUAGGGUUGUAAAGCACUUUCAGUAGGGAGGAAAAGUUAGUAGUUAAUAACUGCUAGCCCUGACGUUACCUACAGAAGAAGCACCGGCAAACUCCGUGCCAGCAGCCGCGGUAAUACGGAGGGUGCGAGCGUUAAUCGGAAUUACUGGGCGUAAAGCGCGCGUAGGCGGUUUGAUAAGCUGGAUGUGAAAGCCCCGGGCUCAACCUGGGAACUGCAUCCAGAACUGUCUGACUAGAAUACAAUAGAGGUGAGUGGAAUUUCCUGUGUAGCGGUGAAAUGCGUAGAUAUAGGAAGGAACAUCAGUGGCGAAGGCGACUCACUGGAUUGAUA